rnacentral:ncRNA from 2 species
GCUUUUGAAAAUUCUUUAGGCUCCUUCGAGGAAUAAAGGGGAAGGUUGUGAGAUUCAACCACGGUCCCGCCGCUGUAAGCGUGACGAAAUCUACAUAAAACCACUGGUGUUUCGCCGGGAAGGUGUAGAGAGUAGGAUGACCGCGAGUCAGAAUACCUGCCUGAAAAUAUAAUGGCGU